GUGGCAAUGAUGAAUCGCGCAGGGGUACGGACCUCGGCUAAAUCAUGGGAGCCGAAUGCAGCGCUGGGUAUUCUGAGAUGGCUGACGUGUGGUUGGCUGCUUAGAACUGGCCUGUAUGAACUCGUCGCCCAACUGAGCCAC